rnacentral:rRNA from 1 species
AGAUUGAACGCUGGCGGCAUGCCUAACACAUGCAAGUCGAACGGGAGUAGCAAUACUCUAGUGGCGGACGGGUGAGGAAUACGUAGGAAUUUGCCCUUAAGUGGGGGAUAACCCGGGGAAACCCGGAUUAAUACCGCAUGACCUCGAAAGAGCAAAGUGGGGGAUCGCAAGACCUCACGCUUUUGGAGAAGCCUACGUCGGAUUAGCUAGUUGGUGAGGUAAUGGCUCACCAAGGCGACGAUCCGUAACUGGUCUGAGAGGAUGAUCAGUCACACCGGAACUGAGACACGGUCCGGACUCCGUACGGAGCAGCAGGUGGGAAUAUUGGACAAGUGGGCG